rnacentral:rRNA from 1 species
UGCGAAGGGGGCUAGCGUUGCUCGGAAUUACUGGGCGUAAAGCGCACGUAGGCGGCUUUCUAAGUCGGGGGUGAAAUCCUGGAGCUCAACUCCAGAACUGCCUUUGAUACUGAGGAUCUUGAGUUCGGGAGAGGUGAGUGGAACUGCGAGUGUAGAGGUGAAAUUCGUAGAUAUUCGCAAGAACACCAGUGGCGAAGGCGGCUCACUGGCCCGAUACUGACGCUGAGGCACGAAAGCGUGGGGAGCAAACAGG